GAUCUCAGUUCUAGUCGGGCGGUCCGCCUAACGGCGGUAACUGCCCGUUCUGAACAAGCCAGCCGGUUUCCCUUGAUGAUCUUCACCGGUUGUCUCGGUUGACCGGCAAGUUUACUUUGAAUAAAUUAGAGUGCUCAAAGCAGGCGUGACGCCUGAACAAUGGUGCAUGGAAUAAUGGAAUAGGACCUCGGUUCUAUUUUGUUGGUUUUCGGAACACGAGGUAAUGAUUAAGAGGAACAGACGGGGGCAUUCGUAUUGCGACGCUAGAGGUGAAAUUCUUGGACCGUCGCAAGACGAACUACUGCGAAAGCAUUUGCCAAGAAUGUUUCCAUUAAUCAAGAACGAAAGUUAGAGGAUCGAAGGCGAUCAGAUACCGCCCUAGUUCUAACCAUAAACGAUGCCAGCCAGCGAUCCGGCUGUGUUCCUCAAAUGACACGCCGGGCAGCUUCCGGGAAACCAAAGCUUUUGGGUUCCGGGGGAAGUAUGGUUGCAAAGCUGAAACUUAAAGG
rnacentral:rRNA from 1 species